rnacentral:lncRNA from 1 species
AUCAUGUAUGGUGGUCGUGAAUCCUGAUGGAAACAUGUUUUUGUAGUAAGUACACAAGUCGGACUAUUGGAGACCGGAAUACAGGCGUCGUAUACAUUCCAAAACCAGUGAUCCUUAUAACGUUAUACUACUCAAAGUAAUGAUGUCGAUUCUGGAAGAAAUGGAUUUUUACCAAUAGAACAAAAUCUUUUAAGAGAAACAUUGAAAAUACUGUUGUAAAUAAUUUUGAAGCACCAAGACGGUCAAGCAGAAAUAUUAAAUUUAUAUUCAAACAGUUGAAACAGAUGUUGUACCAGUGUUAAACAAUUACUAAGGAUUUGGGACAUUAUUCUUCUUUACCUGGCUACAUAACUGAUGCUGAUGAAGAGGAGGUUGAACCACCAUUUUUGCACCACCAAUAGAAUAUGUAAAUGAAGAAGUAAAAUCAAUAGCGCAAUAUUCUAUGCCGGUACUAAUUAAUGCUGUGUGUUCGGCCUACAAUGAUGUUCAAGUAUUGAGCACAUAAUAUGAAUGUCGAUUCAAAAGCAUAAUGUUAUAAUGCUGAUGUAUAGGUGUCAAAAAAAAAAAAUAAUAAUGUACUAGGUAUGUAAAAUGUUCAUUCUAAAAUUAAUUUUAACUUGUGAUUUAAAUCCAAUAUUACAAGCAAAUAGGUACCGUAAAUUUAUAAUUUUUCAGAUUAUAUAAAUAAGUUGCCUAUCCCUAGUUUUCUAGUAUCCCUGUACCACUAUUCCAUUCACCUAAGAUUUAAAUACUUAUCAGUGAUCAUAAAAUAAUCGUACAAAACUCAAUUUAAGUUCUGCUUUAAAAUAUAGAUCUAAAAAUGUACCCACGUUGUCAUUAAUAAAUUAAACAAUUUAAAAAAAGAUAAUGAAAAAAAAAAAUAGUAAAUGCCUAAUAUACUUUUUUAGAAAUCUUGAUUUACUACCCACCCUUGACUGCCAGAACACAUUUGAAUAUCUUCUGAAUUAUCUUCAAAAUAACUUAUACAUUUUGUAUAGAAAAGUCCAAACAUUCCAGAACAUUUUUCAAUAUUAUCAAUAUUUUCUAAAAGAUUUUCCAACUCAUUCUUUGUUCUAAUAGGCUUAUUAUAUUUGUAUUUUUUUCUAUAUAUUUGUAUAACUGGCACAAGGCUAUUAUAAAAUCAUUUUUUUCGUGGUUUCUUCAAAAAAAAAAAAAAAAUGUUUGAUUAAAAGCUGUUACAGUUUGCACACAAAGCUCUAGAAUAUCAUAAAAUAAUUUAAGAAAUUCAUCAUAUUUAAAAAUUUCAAUGACGAUUGGGCUCUUUAUUUCUGAGAAUUCAGAUGAAUAUUUAUUUGAGAUAGGUUUUAAUAAUGCAAUUUGAUUGUCAAUGAAUUCUUGACGAAUAACUGAAUUAAAGGAAUAUUUAUCCUGAAUCUUUUAAUGUUUCUUCCUGUUGUUCUGUAACGAUCUUUACUGUGAUAUAGCUUUCGUAUUAUACACAGAACAACUUAUAUGACGUGGAUGAUUAUUAGUUAAACUAACAUAUGAAGAACUAUGCUUUGUAGAUGAGGAGAGGUUAUAUUUGAUUUUCAUGGUAAUGUUAUAGACAUAGGACUUUUGGAUGAAAUUGGUGAAGAUUAAUAUUACUUCUAUAACUUUAGAAUUCUCUAUUGGUUCCAAAUUAAUGAUCACCAAACUUUUUGCUGAUAAAUAUUUUUUAGUUUUUGCUACCAACGAUUUACUAACAAAAAAUCAUCAAUUGAUGUGAAAGUAUCAUGUGUAGAAGAUUUAUCUGUAUUAUAUGAAAGGUUAUUGAUUUAUAGUAUUUGAUUGUAAUAUUGGAUUUAAAUCACAAGUUAAAAUUUAUUUUGGUAAGAAUAUUUUUCAUUAUUACGUAGCACAUUGUUAAUUCUUUUUAUUGAUGACCGUUCAUCAGCUUUAUUUUAUUUUAUGCUUUUGAAUCAACCUUCAUAUGUGCUCAAUACAAGAAAUCAUUAGAUGCUGGCCACAUAGUAUUAGUAUCAAUUAAUGCUGUACGGUUGUCAAAACAAUUUAACCAAUUGAGAAUUCUAAAGUUAGAGAAGUAAUAUUAAUCUUCAAAAAUGUCAUCCAAAAGUCUUAUGUCUAUAUAAUUACAACGAACAUCAAACAUUACAUCUCCUAUACUACAUAGUAUUGUUCUACAUAAGUUAGUUUAACUAAUAAUCGUCCCUGCCAUAUAAGUUGCUCUGUGUAUAAUAUGGAAGCUAUAUCACAGCAAAGAUCGUAACAGUAUAACACGAAGCAACUUCAACAUUAAAAAUGCAGGACAAAUUGUCGCCUAAUUCAGUUAUUCGUCAAGAAUUCAUUGACAAUCAAAUUACAUUAUUAAGACCUGUCUCUCCCACCAAUAAAUCAAAUUCAUCUGAAUUCUUAGAAAUAAAGAGCCCAGUCGUUAUUGAAAUAUCUAAAAGUGUUGAACUUCCUAAUAUAUUUUAUAAUAGUCUAGAGCUUUGUGGGCAAAAUGUAACAGCUUUUAGUCAAACAUUUUAAUUUUUUUUUUUGAAGAAACCAUUUUAUAAUAGCCUUGUGCCAGUUAUACAAAUAUAUGGAAAAAAAUACAAAUAUAAUAAGCCUAUUAGAACAAAGAAUGAGUUGGAAAAUCUUUUAGAAAAUAUUUAUAAUAUUGAAAAAUGUUCUGGAAUGUUUGAACUUGUCUAUACAAAAUGUAUAGAUUACUUUGAAGAUAGUUCAGAAUAUAUUUAUGCCUUCAUUACCUGGGUAUCAUCAAUGGACCAGAUGUUUACCAAACACAUGGGCAUUGUCGCGAGAAAACCUUGCUCAGCGUCCGCACUGGCUAUAAUCAUGUCCAACGUUAGAGUUCAGUAGUCAAAAGCUAGGUGUGGUACUUGUUUGGAUAAAUCAAGUGGUUGCCUAGGACAGGACAAGAGCCAUACUGAUAAGACCGCAGAGGACAUCUCAGGGUCAUCUCAGCGUACCGUACAGUUUCCGACGAGGCAUCGCUAUUUCUGACUGCCGUGCCACCGGCCAACCUCAUAGGUCUGGAGAGGUUGAGGAUUAGGGCUUGCCUAUGCGUUCUUAUCCUUCCCAGAGAUCCAACCGAUCUGUCCAAGUAUGCUAUUAGAAGGGAGGAACGCAAGAUGACGAUUGUUCAAAUGUACAAAGAUGUCACAGUCACCACACGUCAUUCCUGACGUUGGAUGUGGAUAACGAGAUCAAUAUCGAAGGUGCAAUUGCCAUCACAAGACCCAGUCACCGGAGGGACAUGGCUGCUUUCCAGCAGUACCUGCACCGCAAGGGUAGAGCUGCCAGUGCAAGGAACAAUCACUAUGACAGCAAUGCCAAUACUUCCGAACACACAUUGUUUGAAUGCCGGUAAUGGAGCAGUAUAAAGGAGGUGCCCACCUCAAGCCACUUACUGACCUCUGAGUCUGACCCUCCACUAAAACU